GGGGUUGUGGCUCAGUGGUAGAGCACUUGCCUAGCAUGUGUGAGACACUGGGUUCAAUCCCUAGCACCA
rnacentral:tRNA from 1 species